rnacentral:lncRNA from 1 species
UGUCAGCUGUGUUGCCUAGCCAAACUUGGAAAAUCAAAUUAGCAUUUCCUGGCUGGUAAUGUACUUUUUGCCCAGUGGGUUGUUAAGAGCAUUAUAAGUAAAAAUCCAUAAACGUUAACAGCAAUGUUUAAACUUUAUUGGGGAGCAGGGGAUGGCAAAAAUCAAUGUAAGAUACUAGUUUUCAAGUUUAGGCUAUGUUAUAUUUGAUUACUGGGAUAUCAGUACAAUGAAAAUGGAGGAAUUUCAACAGUAAUUUUGAAGAAGUUUCAGUACACCGUGUUGUGCAGGGCUUUAUAAAAGAUUUUUGUUUCCAAAGAUGUUAUUGGGGUCCACAUAUUCUUUAACAGAUCUCAGCAUUCCCAGGCCAACAUCAGAGAUACUCUCCUUCAUCCAGCGCUUCCGCAAUUUCCCUACUCCAUGGUGAUGUGACAGACUUCCUCCAUUGGCAAGUAUUUCUUCUCUAGCAGCCCUCUCAAUUUCUUCAUAGACAUGAAUAGGAUCACUAAUCCCUCUGUAGUUAAAGGCAAAGUAGAAAUAGACACAUGCACCUGCA